rnacentral:rRNA from 1 species
AUUGAACGCUGGCGGCAGGCCUAACACACGCAAGUCGAGCGGAUGAAGGGAGCUUGCUCCUGGAUUCAGCGGCGGACGGGUGAGUAAUGCCUAGGAAUCUGCCUGGUAGUGGGGGAUAACGUCCGGAAACGGGCGCUAAUACCGCAUACGUCCUGAGGGAGAAAGUGGGGGAUCUUCGGACCUCACGCUAUCAGAUGAGCCUAGGUCGGAUUAGCUAGUUGGUGGGGUAAAGGCCUACCAAGGCGACGAUCCGUAACUGGUCUGAGAGGAUGAUCAGUCACACUGGAACUGAGACACGGUCCAGACUCCUACGGGAGGCAGCAGUGGGGAAUAUUGGACAAUGGGCGAAAGCCUGAUCCAGCCAUGCCGCGUGUGUGAAGAAGGUCUUCGGAUUGUAAAGCACUUUAAGUUGGGAGGAAGGGCAGUAAGUUAAUACCCUGCUGUUUUGACGUUACCAACAGAAUAAGCACCGGCUAACUUCGUG